CCUACGGGUGGCAGCAGUGAGGAAUAUUGGUCAAUGGACGGAAGUCUGAACCAGCCAUGCCGCGUGCAGGAAGACGGCUCUAUGAGUUGUAAACUGCUUUUGUACAAGGGUAAACCUGAAUACGUGUAUUCAGCUGAAAGUACUUUAAGAAUAAGGAUCGGCUAACUCCGUGCCAGCAGCCGCGGUAAUACGGAGGAACCAAGCGUUAUCCGGAUUUAUUGGGUUUAAAGGGUGCGUAGGCGGAUUGAUAAGUUAGAGGUGAAAUGUCCGGGCUUAACUCGGGAACUGACUGUAAUACGGUCGGUCUAGAGAGGAGAUGAGGUAGGCGGAAGGUAUGGUGUAGCGGUGAAAUGCUUAGAGAUCAUACAGAACACCGAUUGCGAAGGCAGCUUACCAAUCUAUAUCUGACGUUGAGGCACGAAAGCGUGGGGAGCAAACAGGAUUAGAUACCCGUGUAGUC
rnacentral:rRNA from 1 species